rnacentral:lncRNA from 12 species
UAUUUGCUAUCUGAGAUUCUGUCAAAAAUUCUUCUUCCAAUACAUGAACUUUCAUUCUUCCAGAAUGCUACCCCUGAAUGUGCAACGUGGUCUGGCACACAGCAUGUACCACCAACAGAAAAUCUUUCAGAGAAAUAUGGACAGGAGCUGGAGGGAGGCAAGCAUCUGUUCAAACUAUUCAAGGAUUAAAUUGAUCGCCUCUAAAUUAAUUGGGUCAGAGGAAGGAGAUAACAGGUAGGUAAGAGUACCAGAAUAUUUGGCAUGAGUCAGUGGCCUCUACAAUGGGUGGCUGGAGAAGCUCACACUGCUGAGUGUUCAUUAACAAUAAGGAGGGGCCCUUGCAUCAGUGAUUGCAGACUUUUUGCUAGAGGGAGAAGCA